CAGACAUUUACAAACCAGGAAGACAAGCUGAUAAAAGGGCUCUUAGAACGCUCAGCCUUCAGUGGCAAGAAAUUUUGGUCUGAAGGCUAAGCCCUCACCGAGGCUUUUUCUGGGAGCCCCCACCCUCCAAGGAAAAGAAAAUUCUGAGGCUGCUUCCUUAACAAAUACCAUGAGCUGGAGCGUAGCCACUAGCAAGCGUCAUCAGCAUCUCUGGUCCUGGGUCUCAAGAGAACGAGAAAGGGCUAAGUCCAGAUUCUUUACUUUGAACCUCUCUUCGGGUUCAAGAGAGAGAAAGUCUUCCUCUCACACAGGCAACCUAUGGAAGCAUGGACAGAUUAUUAGAAGGCAGAGUGCUGCAGAACUGCUCCAGCAGAGUCGGAGACAUAUACCUGGUACCUCAGCUGUCUAGCCACUGAUUCAGAGUCCAAGUAACAGCAUGUGAUGGAGACCUCAAGUUUCAGUGGAAUCCACUAAAGUCCUGCUGCACUGAGGGACACAGGAGUUUCUAGAAUGUGAGCUCUUGGCAACUGCUGAGCUUGCUCCUACCCUUAUUAGGCAACUGCUAAAGAAAAACUCUGUGAGCCUUCAGUGCUCCAGCCAGGGAGGAGUUACCUCUGUCAGGUCAGGGUCAGUCAGUCACUAGGAGGGGAAAUCGUUCUGGGAUAGGUCCAUCCUGUCUCCAGCCUUUUCUAACCCAGGGGAUAAUAGGCUAGAAGGCUGAAGUUGCCUCCUUUCUUCCUGGGGCAAGAAAUCACAUUACUUCACUUGAUCACCCAGCCCUGCUUCCAGAUGCACCUGAGAUGCGUGCCACCCCACACCUCCUGAUGAGCAGUGCAAUGAGAUUCAUUAGCAAGUACCCCAAAUAAGAGACAACCACGUGACGUAGGUCACCAAAGCUCGACAGAAGCCUGAUUAGUCUUUCCUUCAGUUCUGUCCAAGGAAGCCCUUCCUCCUAGAUUCUCUCCUGGGGUUGUGAAGGAGUCCACUUCCAGACCAUCAGGGGAAGGGGGGUGACUCUGCCUAUGUAGGUGACAGAGAAGGACAUCUUUGCAGACAUGAAAGGAAUCCGCUCCCCCAAUUGUCCCAUGCCAUACCUAGGUGAGGCACAGGCAAUAAAGCAUGCUGGGAAAUGGGGAAAGGAGUCGGGGGUGGGGGGCUUGCACUUAGGCCUUCAGGUUGGUGCAGCAUUGCAGACAGACUGCCUGGAGUAAUAAAUGACAGGGAUCACUCUACCGGAGCAGCUUAGGAGAGCAGACCUUCACAUCCCACUCUGUUCUGUCCUUUUCUCUGGGCCAAGAGUUUUUGCUUUAGGGCAAGUUGUUAGUACCUGGGGACACUCCAGGAAUCACUGUCAAGCAUGAUGUGAGGGUGAUGGAGAAGAGCUCUCUGGGUAGGUAAGAAGGUUGACCCCGACUAUGGGAUGUAUCAGUCUGAAAUCUGAGAGCUGCUUCUUAGCUCCCCACCCCACUCCCCAUCGUUCCCCCCACAUCAGCAGCGCCGGUCCUCGGCUCUGAUGAGUGCCCCUCAUCCCAAAGGGGACUCCACUUUUUCUCACAGUCAGGAGCAGGGCAGGGAUGAAGAGAGGUGGGAAAGGAGGGGAAUACUAUUUUCUAGGUACGCGCUCUGCGAUAGAUGCUGCACUUGUCACUUUGUGUAAAAAUGAGAACGAUACCAAGUAUACAUAAUAUGAAUGAAAAUAUUACAUAGUCCCUAGUAAAGAGGCUGACAAG